UGGGGAAUCUUGCACAAUGGGGGCAACCCUGAUGCAGCGACGCCGCGUGAGCGAUGAAGCCCUUCGGGGCGUAAAGCUCUUUCGACCGGAACGAUAAUGACGGUACCGGGAGAAGAAGCUGCGGCUAACUACGUGCCAGCAGUCGCGGUAAUACGUAGGCAGCAAGCGUUGUUCGGAGUUACUGGGCGUAAAGAGUGCGUAGGCGGUUUUCUAAGUUCGGUGUGAAAUCUCCCGGCUUAACUGGGAGGGUGCGCCGAAGACUGGGAAGCUGGAUUGUGGGAAAGGCAGGCGGAAUUCCUGGUGUAGCGGUGAAAUGCGUAGAUAUCAGGAGGAACACCGGCGGUGUAGACGGCUUGCUAAACCAUAACUGACGCUGAGGCACGAAAGCGUGGGUAGCAAACA
rnacentral:rRNA from 1 species